rnacentral:tRNA from 1 species
GCCAGCAUGGCAUAGUGGCUUGAGUGUUGGACUAGGACUCUGGAGACCAGGGUUCAAAUCCCAGCUCAGCCA